rnacentral:rRNA from 1 species
GGCGGAUGCCUUGGCUCUCGGAGGCGAUGAAGGACGUGAUAAGCUGCGAUAAGCUUCGGGCAGGUGCAAAUAACCUUUGAUCCGAAGAUUUCCGAAUGGGACAACCCGGCAUUCUGAAGGAAUGUCAUCCAUCUUAGAUGGAAGCUAACGCAGGGAACUGAAACAUCUUAGUACCUGUAGGAAAAGAAAAUAAUAAUGAUUCCCCUAGUAGUGGCGAGCGAACGGGGAUUAGCCCAAACCAAUGUUGUUACGGCAAUAUUGGGGUUGUAGGACCACGAUAUCGCAAGAACUUUAGUGAGAAGAACCCUUUGGAAAAUGGGACCAUAGACGGUGAUAGUCCGGUAUUCGAAGCUAAAUGAAGCGUAGUGGUAUCCUGAGUAGCGCGGGACACGAGGAAUCUUGCGUGAAUCUGCCGGGACCAUCCGGUAAGGCUAAAUACUCCCGAGAGACCGAUAGCGAACCAGUACUGUGAAGGAAAGGUGAAAAGCACUUCGAAUAGAAGAGUGAAAUAGUCCCUGAAACCGUGCGCCUACAAGCGGUCGGAGCAGCGUAAGCUGUGACGGCGUGCCUUUUGCAUAAUGAACCUACGAGUUACUUUUUCCGGCAAGGUUAAGCAUUUCAAAAUGUGUAGCCGAAGCGAAAGCGAGUCUGAACAGGGCGAUUAGUCGGAAGGAGUAGACGCGAAACCAAGUGAUCUACCCUUGGUCAGGUUGAAGGUUAGGUAACACUAACUGGAGGACCGAACCGAUAAGCGUUGAAAAGCUUCCGGAUGAACUGAGGGUGGGGGUGAAAGGCUAAUCAAACUUGGAGAUAGCUCGUACUCCCCGAAAUGCAUUUAGGUGCAGCCUUGAUUUAUACUAAUAUGAGGUAGAGCGACUGAUAAGAUGCGAGGGCUUCGCCGCCUAUCAAGUCUUGACAAACUCCGAAUGCGUAUUAGUUCUAUAUCAGGAGUGAGGGCAUGGGUGCUAAGGUCCAUGUCCUAAAGGAGAACAAUCCGGACCAACAGCUAAGGUCCCGAAAUGAAUACUAAGUUGAACUAACGAAGUCAGAUUGCUAAGACAGCUAGGAUGUUGGCUUGGAAGCAGCCAUUCAUUUAAAGAGUGCGUAACAGCUCACUAGUCGAGGAGUUUGGCGUGGAUAAUAAUCGGGCAUCAAGCAAUUUACCGAAGCUAUGGGAUCAGUAAUGAUCGGUAGGGGAGCAUUCCACUCUGCGUCGAAGGUGAAGCGUGAGCUUUGCUGGAGCGUGUGGAAAAGCAAAUGUAGGUAUAAGUAACGAUAAAGGGGGUGAGAAACCCCCUCGCCGAAAGACUAAGGUUUCCUGAUCAACGCUAAUCGGAUCAGGGUUAGUCGGGUCCUAAGGCUCAGCCGAACGGUGAGGCCGAUGGCAGAACAGGUUAAUAUUCCUGUACUACCUUAAGGAGUGACGUGGAGACGGAGGAGUGACAGCGCCGCGGACUGACGGAAUAGUCCGUUGAAGGGUGUAGAUGUUGAUUAUCCCAGGCAAAUCCGGGAUAAGAGUCGAACCUGAUAGUAUACCAAAUUCUUCGGAAUAAGGUAAUAGUGCGUGUAAGCAUACUCCCAAGAAAAUCCGCUAAACUUAAUCUUUAAGGUACCCGUACCGCAAACGGACACACGUAGUCGGGUUGAAUAUACUAAGGCGCUUGAGUGAUUCACGGUUAAGGAACUAGGCAAAUUGACCCUGUAACUUCGGGAUAAAGGGUCCCAACGAGAGUUGGGCGCAGAGAAUAGGUCCAGGCAACUGUUUAACAAAAACACAGGGCUGUGCCAAAUUGAAAGAUUACGUAUACAGCCUGACACCUGCCCGGUGCUGGAAGGUUAAGAGGAGAUGUCAUCGCAAGAGAAGCAUUGAAUUGAAGCCCCAGUAAACGGCGGCCGUAACUAUAACGGUCCUAAGGUAGCGAAAUUCCUUGUCGGGUAAGUUCCGACCUGCACGAAUGGUGUAAUGAUCUGGACACUGUCUCAACCGUGAGCUCAGUGAAAUUGUAGUAUCGGUGAAGAUGCCGAUUACCCGCGAUGGGACGAAAAGACCCCGUGAACCUUUACUAUAGCUUAACAUUGAAUUUGGGUAAUUGAUGUGUAGGAUAGGCCGGAGGCUUUGAAGCAGGUACGCCAGUAUUUGUGGAGCCGCUGUUGAAAUACGGCCCUUUGGUUAUUUGAGUUCUAACUCGUUGUUGCGAGGACACUGUUUGGUGGGUAGUUUGACUGGGGUGGUCGCCUCCAAAAGUGUAACGGAGGCUUCUAAAGGUGCCCUCACGACGAUUGGUAACCGUCGGCAGAGUGUAAUGGCAUAAGGGCGCUUGACUGGGAGACUUACAAGUCGAUCAGGUAGGAAACUAGAGCAUAGUGAUCCGGUGUUUCCGUAUGG